UACUUUUUUUUGCUUUCAUCAGGACACAUGAAAUAUAUAUAUACAGUAUCUCACAAAGUGAGUACACCCCUCACAUGUUUGUAAAUAUUUUAUUAUAUCUUUUCAUGUGACAACACUGAAGAAAUGACACUGCUGCAAUGUAAAGUAGUAAAUGUACAGCCUGUAUAACAGUGUAAAUUUGCUGUCUCCUCAAAAUAACUCAACACACAGCCAUUAAUGUCUUAACCGUUGGCAACAAAAGUGUGUACACCCCUAAGUGGAAAUGUCCAAACUGGGUCAAAAGUGUCAAUAUUUUCCAGCACUGCCUUAUGCCUCAUGGGCAUGGAGUUCACCAGAGCUUCACAGGUUGCCAAAGGAGUCCUCUUCCACUCCUCCAUGACGACAUCACGGACCUGGUGGGUGUUAGAGACCUUGUGCUCCCCCACCUUCCGUUUGAGGAUGCCCCACAGGUGCUCAGUAGGGUUUAGGUCUGGAGACAUGCUUGGCCAGUCCAUCACCUUUACCUUCAGCUUCUUUAGCAAGGCAGUGGCCGUCUUGGAGGUAUGUUUGGGAUCAUUAUCUUGUUGGAAUACCUGCAAACUGCUGUAUGGUCUUGCCCACCGUGCUGCAGCUCAGUUUCAGGGUCUUGGCAAUCUUCUUAUAGCCUAGGCCAUCUUUAUGUAGAGCAGCAUUUUUUUUUCAGAUCCUCAGAGAGUUCUUUGCCAUGAGGUGCCAUGUUAAACUUCCAGUGACCAGUAUGAGAGAGUGUGAGAGCGAUAACACCAUAUUUGUUUGUGUGUGAAAAAUGCAAAAAACUAAUUUGAACGCUGAUUUUGGCCAGUGUUUGUGACUACUAAAGUGGCUACUAAAAAAACUGGACAUGCAUCAUUUGCAAUACCUUUGCAAGUGGUAUGCCAUGAUGGGGGUAAUUCUCAUUCCUGGGCUACCAUGUGGUCUCAAAGGCAACAUAACCAACCUGGCAAAUUUCAAUGUGAAAAAAUGGAAAUGCAAGCCUUCUACUUGACUCUGUAACAUUUGAAAACACGGUAAAACCUGUACAUGGUGGGUAUUAUUAUAUUUGGGAGAAUUCGCUAAACACAGAUAUUAGUGUUUCAAAACAGUAAAACAUAUCACAACAAUUAUAUCGUCAGUAAAACUGCCGUUUGUAUGUGAAAAAUGCAAAAAACAGCACUUUCACUGACAAUAUCAUCGUUGUGAUCUGUUUUACUGUUUUGAAACACUAAUAUUUGUGUACAGCGAAGUCUCGUAAGUGAAAGAGUUCCCCCUGGUGUACAGGUUUUAUGGUGUCUUGGAAAGUUAUAGGGUUAAAUACAGGGCUUGCGAAUCAAGUUGUCAGGCAGGUCCCUCAAAUUUUAAUGAAUAAAAUGACUUAAUU